UCAAUGCCGUGUCUAUAAUUCUUGUUUUCCUUUAUGUGAAAUUCCAGAGUGGUUUAGCCACCGGAGUGAUGAGCCUACAGUGACAAUCCCUUUACCUCCGAAUGUGUUCAAUGACAAUACUUGGAUGGGACUUGUUCUAUGUGCUUCUGUUGCAGUUGAAGCAAACCCAACUGCCAUCCUUGACAUUCAGAAUUCAGAAACUUCUUACAAUCUUAUUUGUCAUUUGGAAACCAAUAUUGAAUGUGUGGAACCUCUCCAUGUCCAUCACAUAACUGAAAAAGAUCUCAAGUUGUUACAGCAAGGUGGAUUUAUUUGGCUGUCCUAUAUUCCACGUGGUUCAUUUAAAGACUUGGUGAAUCAAUGCAGCUGGAUUGAGGCUUCAGUUGCGACAGAUUGCCCUGGCUUGGUGCAAAAGUGUGGCUUCCAUCUUCUUUACAAACAUGAUGAGGUAGAGUUUCAGGAAACAAUAAGACAAUGCAUGGCCUUGUUCUCUAAUGAACAUGAGGUAAGACCCAAAAAAUCUAGUAGCUCCAGUGAGGACCCUCAAUCUGAACCUGUUGAUCCGACCAUUCAUAAAGACAAGGGUAAGGGAGUUCUAGAGUACUAACAUCUAUCGGUCUGCUGCUUUUCAUCUUUGGGGACACCUCUCUUUUUUAUUGAUUGAUGAAAUAUUGCUGGGGAAAUAUUGAUGAAUUGAUGAUGGUUGCUGCAGACAAAAGGAAUGUUGAAGAUGCUUACAAGAAAAGUUGAAGGGUUUGUUUCAUAAGGUCUUGUCUGGUGUUGAAGGGAUCUAUUCCAAGGGUCUUGUUUUUAAAUUUAUUUAUUUUUAUUUAUCUGAACACUGAUGAAUGCACUUAAUCUGUUAACUUUAUUUUUAAGAGACUUGUAGAAUUAGAAGUGAUUGUGGUCCUGAUGAGUUUGGGAACUGGGACUAUUUAAAAUCUGAUUUGCUUAUCUGGA